CCCUUAGACGUUCUGGGCCGCACGCGCGCUACACUGACCAGUGCAACAAGCAUCCGUCCUUGGCCGACAGGCUCGGGCAAUCUUUGAACGCUGGUCGUGAUGGGGAUAGACUUUUGCAAUUUUUGGUCUUCAACGAGGAAUUCCUAGUAAACGCAAGUCAUCAACUUGCAUUGAUUACGUCCCUGCCCUUUGUACACACCGCCCGUCGCACCUACCGAUUGAAUGGUCCGGUGAAGCCUCCGGAUUGGCGCGCACCUCGGUGCCGCCGAGAAGUUGGCUAAACCUUACCAUUUAGAGGAAGGUGAAGUCGUGACA
rnacentral:rRNA from 1 species